GUUCCGUUAGCUCAGCUGGGAGAGCGAUUGGGUCACAACCAAUAGGUCGGCGGUUCGAGCCCGUCACGGAACACCA
rnacentral:tRNA from 1 species